GUGCUUUCAGGACUCCAGCCCUGCCCAGCCCUCAAGCCUCCUUUCUCCCUCCCCCACCUGAUCCCUAUGACCUGAUCCCUCCCAUAGCUCACCUUCCCCCUUCUGGGCCCGGGAGCUCCCGCAUCUUUACAAAUCAGCAGCACCUGACUUGACAGUGACUCCGGUUCCUCUGCGUUUCCUGCCAGACCCCCAGCUCCAGGAGGCAGGGGCAGGCUUUGCUUCGCUCCCAGAGUCCCCAGCUCCUAGCACAGCCUCCAGCUAAGAGCAUGAGAUUGAAGAAAUGCAUUGAGGAGCACAUGGAUGCUUGUAAUGAGAAAAUACUGGGGAGUUAUUACAGUGGUCAAGGUGAAAAUCAAGGGCUCUGACCCACGCAGCAGAGACAAAGGCUACCUCCGAAAUGGACAGCAGGCACUCAGUGACAGCUAGCAGUGAAGUCUUUUCAAAAUGUAAAUCCCCACGAAGUUUGCCAGAAUCUAGUCGACACCCCCGUGUGCUUUCAUCCACUGCCGAUUCUUUGCCAUUUCGAACCUCAUGGUAAGUAACCAUUAAUACUGUUUUCCUUUCUGCUGCCCUUCAUGAUGUUAAAGGAAAAAUGCCAUUUCAGAUGUUUCUAGACAAAUCACAC
rnacentral:lncRNA from 1 species